UGUGUGUGUGUGUGUGUGUCUGCGCGCGUGUGUGUGUGUGUGUACGUGUCUGUGUGUGUCUGUGUGUGUGUGUGUGUGAGUACUCACGUA